CGCCCACAGUGCUGCCGGUAAUAUCUCUCUCUCUAAGCUCGGUCUCGCUUGCGUAUACCCGAACUUUGUUGUGUUUUUAGUUGAAUCACUGUCUCUUCUAUCUCUCGCACAAAUCCAGUUUGAUCUCCCAUAGAACACAUAUUCAAUUCGAGCUCCUUCUCCUCUUCACUUCCGGUCUCUCUUUCUGGGUUCGUUCGGCUCAUGAUUGGGAGUUUUUCUGACGGUCCUCCUUUGCUUCUCUUCUUUUGGCUUUUGAAUGAUUUCCAGACGCAGUGCUUCCCCCCAUCCAAUCGGUGCUUCUUUCGGCUCAUGUAAGCAUUUCCCGAACCGAGGUGUGAAUUGAGCAUCUCCAUUUUUUUAGCGGGUGGUUUCUUUCUAUCGUUCGGAGCUCAAGGAUUGAGCCGAAGAAAGCCUUGUACGGAUAGAACAAGAACGACGACGCUAAUUUGGAGGGAUCCAGAUCGGUCGGUCGUUGAACAGAGCCGAUCGAUUCGAGCACAAGGGAAGUCCAGAAGAGAAACGUUCGUCUUUAACUCUUUGGGGUUGGAUAAACGAGAUCUUGCAUGGUAUAUGGAUGGGGAAGAGGUGAACAUGGGAGUCUUGGUUAGGUGUUGGGAUCAAAAGCAUUUAGAAAAUUUUGUAUCAAGUUUAGUUGGCUUGAGUUGGAAAAGCAUGUACGGUAUUUUGUUUGUUGAAACUUUUGGUAUCCAUUAUUUUUUGAAGAUUUUGUUUGUCAAGGUUUUUCUACUAGAGUAGUUUAGCAUUAGACAUCGAAGCGGUGGAUGGGUUCUAGGCUUCUAGUUGUGCACUUUGAUCCCGCGUUAUGUUUUGCUAUUUACCCGCAUUUCUUGUUACUAAGCGUUUUAUUUUAACACUAUGGACUCUAUCAGGCUCCGGUGCUUGCUCAUCCUCAUUAUACUAUUUUUGGUGUUUGUAACUUGUUUUCUUA